GAUGAACGCUGGCGGCGUGCCUAAUACAUGCAAGUCGAGCGAACGGACGAGAAGCUUGCUUCUCUGAUGUUAGCGGCGGACGGGUGAGUAACACGUGGAUAACCUACCUAUAAGACUGGGAUAACUUCGGGAAACCGGAGCUAAUACCGGAUAAUAUUUUGAACCGCAUGGUUCAAAAGUGAAAGACGGUCUUGCUGUAACUUAUAGAUGGAUCCGCGCUUCAUUAGCUAGUUGGUAAGGUAACGGCUUACCAAGGCAACGAUGGAUAGCCGACCUGAGAGGGUGAUAGGCCACACUGGAACUGAGACACGGUCCAGACUCCUACGGGAGGCAGCAGUAGGGAAUCUUCCGCAAUGGGAGAAAGCCUGACGGAGCAACGCCGCGUGAGUGAUGAAGGUCUUCGGAUCGUAAAACUCUGUUAUUAGGGAAGAACAUAUGUGUAAGUAACUGUGCACAUCUUGACGGUACCUAAUCAGAAAGCCACGGCUAACUACGUG
rnacentral:rRNA from 1 species